rnacentral:rRNA from 1 species
AGAGUUUGAUCAUGGCUCAGGAUGAACGCUGGCGGUCUGCUUAACACAUGCAAGUCGAACGGAAUCUUUCGGGAUUUAGUGGCGGACGGGUGAGUAACGCGUGAGAAUCUGCCUUCAGGUUCGGGACGACAGUUGGAAACGGCUGCUAAUACCGGAUGUGCCGAGAGGUGAAAGCUUAAGUGCCUGGAGAUGAGCUCGCGUCUGAUUAGCUAGUAGGAGUGGUAACGGCACCCCUAGGCGACGAUCAGUAGCUGGUCUGAGAGGAUGAUCAGCCACACUGGGACUGAGACACGGCCCAGACUCCUACGGGAGGCAGCAGUGGGGAAUUUUCCGCAAUGGGCGCAAGCCUGACGGAGCAAGACCGCGUGAGGGAAGAAGGUCUGUGGAUUGUAAACCUCUUUUGAUCGGGAAGAAGACAGUGACGGUACCGAUCGAAUCAGCUCGAUCCCCC